AGAGUUUGAUCAUGGCUCAGAUUGAACGCUGGCGGCAUGCCUUACACAUGGCAAGUCGAACGGCAGCGCGGGGCAACCUGGCGGCGAGUGGCGAACGGGUGAGUAAUAUAUCGGAACAUACCUUAGAGUGGGGAUAACGUAGCGAAAGUUACGCUAAUACCGCAUACGCACUAAGGUGGAAAAGUGGGGGAUUCGCAAGAACCUCAUGCUCAUGGAGUGGCCGAUAUCUGAUUAGCUAGUUGGUGAGGUAAAGGCUCACCAAGGCGACGAUCAGUAGCUGGUUUGAGAGGACGACCAGCCACACUGGAACUGAGACACGGUCCAGACUCCUACGGGAGGCAGCAGUGGGAAUUUUGGACAAUGGGGGCAACCCUGAUCCAGCAAUGCCGCGUGAGUGAAGAAGGCCUUCGGGUUGUAAAGCUCUUUUGUCAGGGAAGAAACGGUGAGUUCUAAUAAAGCUUGCUAAUGACGGUACCUGAAGAAUAAGCACCGGCUAACUACGUG
rnacentral:rRNA from 1 species